rnacentral:rRNA from 1 species
GGCGUUAAUAUAUGACCCGAUUAGCAGCUUCCGGGAAACCAAAGUUUUUCGUUUCCGGGGGAAGUAUGGUUGCAAAGCUGAAACUUAAAGGAAUUGACGGAAGGGCACCACCAGGAGUGGAGCCUGCGGCUUAAUUUGACUCAACACGGGAAAACUCACCCGGCCCGGACACCGUAAGGAUUGACAGACUGAGAGCUCUUUCUUAAUUCGGUGGGUGGUGGUGCAUGGCCGUUCUUAGUUGGUGGAGCGAUUUGUCUGGUUAAUUCCGAUAACGAACGAGACUCUGGCCUAUUAAAUAGACGAUAUAUUUAAAAGUAUAUCGCGCUUCUUAGAGGGACAAGCGGCGUCUAGCCGCAUGAAAUAGAGCAAUAACAGGUCUGUGAUGCCCUUAGAUGUCCGGGGCUGCACGCGCGCUACACUGAAAGAAUCAGAGUGCGUUAUGCCUAGUUCGGAAGAACCGGGUAACCCAAGUAAAUUCUUUCGUGCUUGGGAUAGGGAAUUGCAAUUAUUUCCCUUAAACGAGGAAUUCCCAGUAAAUGCGGGUCAUAAGCUCGCGUUG